UGCCUCAUACAUGCAAGUCGAACGAAGUCUUCGGACUUAGUGGCGCACGGGUGAGUAACAUGUGGGAAUCUACCUAAAGGUUCGGAAUAACUGCGGGAAACUGUAGCUAAUACCGGAUGUGUCUGCAAAGAGAAAGAUUUAUCGCCUUUAGAUGAGCCCGCACUAGAUUAGCUAGUUGGUGAGGUAACUGCUCCACCAAGGCUACGAUCUAUAGCUGAUUUGAGAGGAUGAUCAGCCACACUGGGACUGAGACACGGCCCAGACUCCUACGGGAGGCAGCAGUAGGGAAUAUUGGACAAUGGGGGAAACCCUGAUCCAGCAAUGCCGCGUGAGUGAAGAAGGCCCUCGGGUUGUAAAACUCUUUCAUCAAUGAUGAUAAUGACAUUAGUUGAAGAAGAAGCUCCGGCUAACUUCGUGCCAGCAGCCGCGGUAAUACGAAGGGGGCUAGCGUUGUUCGGAAUCACUGGGCGUAAAGCGUAUGUAGGCGGAUCAAAAAGUUAGAUGUGAAAUCCCUGGGCUUAACCCAGGAACUGCAUUUAAAACUAGUGAUCUAGAAUUUGGUAAAGGUUAGUAGAAUUUCCAGUGUAGAGGUGAAAUUCGUAGAUAUUGGAAAGAAUACCAGAAGCGAAGGCGACUAACUAGGCCAUUUUUGACGCUGAGAUACGAAAGCGUGGGUAGCAAACAGGAUUAGAUACCCUGGUAGUCCACGCAGUAAACGAUGAGUGCUAGUCGCUGGGACAUUAGUUUCAGUGUCGAAGCUAACGCAUUAAGCACUCCGCCU
rnacentral:rRNA from 1 species